CUUCCGUAGGGUGAACCUGCGGAAGGAUCAUUGAAUCUAUCGAAUCCACACCGGUAACCAACCACCCCUCUUGCCUAAAACCCAAGGGGCGUCAGUCCCCUGGCCCAGGGCUUGCUCUGGUGUCCAGGUCUGGCGGGGUAGGCUCCGGCCUGCCUGGUUUAUUAUAACAAACCUCAACACACACCAAACCUCAACCAAACUGAAGCUUUUUGGAAGGGUGGCUUCUGCCCCCAUCCACUAACCAAAGACAACUCUCAACAACGGAUAUCUUGGCUCCCGUAUCGAUGAAGAACGCAGCGAAAUGCGAUACGUAGUGUGAAUUGCAGAAUUCCGUGAACCAUCGAAUCUUUGAACGCAAAUUGCGCCCGCGGCUCCGGCUAAGGGCAUGUCUGCCUCAGCGUCGGUUUACACCCCUCACCCCUAUUCUAGGGAGUGGAUCUGGCACUCUCAGAGGCCUAUUUAUUAGGCUGGCUGGGUUUGCUGAAGUGCAGAGGCUUGAGCAUGGACCCCGUUUGCAGGGCAAUAGCUUGGUAGGUAGGCGUCAGCCUGCAUUAGCCUGCUGUUGCCUGAGGGGACUUUGCUGGGAGCCUAGCAGGAAUUGGGUUUGGCCUAGGCCUUUCCAACUCUCUUUUUCGACCUGAGCUCAGGCAAGAUUACCCGCUGAACUUAAGCAUAUCAAUAAGCGGAGGAAUAG
rnacentral:rRNA from 1 species